rnacentral:tRNA from 1 species
CCUUCGAUAGCUCAGUUGGUAGAGCGGAGGACUGUAGGAUUGGGCUCCAUAAAAGUAAUCCUUAGGUCGCUGGUUCAAUUCCAGCUGGAAGGA